rnacentral:misc_RNA from 1 species
GAGGGAGCGGGUGUCUGGUGGCCGGGCCGGGCGGUGGGUGGCUGGGGCAGUGGAGUCGGAGCGUGUGCUGGUCGGUGACGCUGGUGGAUAACCGGAGACGGUGAGGGACGCUGGUGGAUAACCGGAGACGGAUAACUCGACGACAUGCUUCGAUCGCCAUCGGUGGUGGACGAGAGCGGCCAUCGGUGGUGGACGAGGGACGCCAUCGGUGGUGGACGAGGGAAGCCAUCGGUGGUGGACCGCCAUCGUCACCGCCGUGCUGACUGUACCAGAACAACAGCGGCGGACCGAGACAGCAGAGCGGCACCGGGCGGCCACUUCACAACGGGCGCGUAUUCGUGUGGUUCAACUUCAGACUCAGUGGACCACCGUCCUCCGUCCGCCCGGUCCCAGUACUGAUGGGCUUCGGACUACAGGACUACCGGCCCUCAGACUACAGGACUACCGUCCAUCGGACUACAGGACUACACCGGCCCUCGGACUACAGGACUACCGGCCCUCGGACUACAGAACUGCGGGGUCUUCGGACUACAGGACUACACCGGCCCUCGGACUACAGGACAACCGGCCCUCGGACUACAGGACUACUGGCCCUCGGGCUACAGGACUACACCGGCCCUCGGACUACAGUACUACCAGCCCUCUGGACUACAGGACUACACCGGUCCCCGCACUACAGUACUACCGGCUCUCGGACUACAGCACCAUCAGUGUUACGGUGGCUAACACGAAAAUGGGAAAUCAACGAUCUCCUUGGAACACAA